rnacentral:rRNA from 1 species
UACAGAGGGGGCAAGCGUUGUUCGGAAUUACUGGGCGUAAAGGGCUCGUAGGCGGCCGCCUAAGUCAGACGUGAAAUCCCUCGGCUUAACCGGGGAACUGCGUCCGAUACUGGUUGGCUUGAGUUUGGGAGAGGGAUGCGGAAUUCCAGGUGUAGCGGUGAAAUGCGUAGAUAUCUGGAGGAACACCGGUGGCGAAGGCGGCAUCCUGGACCAACACUGACACUGAGGAGCGAAAGCCAGGGGAGCAAACGGG